UACGUAGGGUGCGAGCGUUAAUCGGAAUUACUGGGCGUAAAGCGUGCGCAGUGUCGGUUAGUGUAAGACAGGUGUAGAAACGUCCCGGGCUUAACCUGGGAACUGCGUCUUGUGACUGCACGGUCUAGAGUACGGCAGAGGGGGGUGGAAUUCCACGUGUAGCAGUGAAAUGCGUAGAUAUGUGGAGGAACACCGAUGGCGAAGGCAGCCCCCUGGGCCGAUACUGACGCUCAUGCACGAAAGCGUGGGGA
rnacentral:rRNA from 1 species